rfam:Ictidomys tridecemlineatus contig007922, whole genome shotgun sequence.
GGGGUUGUGGCUCAGUGGUAGAGCACUCACCUGGCAUGUGUGAGGCACUGGGUUUGAUCCUCAACACCA